rnacentral:rRNA from 1 species
UACGUAGGGUGCAAGCGUUGUCCGGAAUUAUUGGGCGUAAAGAGCUCGUAGGCGGUUUGUUGCGUCGGCUGUGAAAUCCCUGGGCUCAACCCAGGAACUGCGUCCGAUACUGGUUGGCUUGAAUCCGGGAGAGGGACGUGGAAUUCCAGGUGUAGCGGUGAAAUGCGUAGAUAUCUGGAGGAACACCGGUGGCGAAGGCGACGUCCUGGACCGGCAUUGACGCUGAGGCGCGAAAGCCAGGGGAGCAAACGGG